rnacentral:lncRNA from 1 species
AGUUCUGAUGGUUACUUCAGAUAGCGCUGAGAACUUCUGAAGUUUGACAUACGUUGUUCAGAGUCAGAACUUCUAGAGCGUACUUCUUGUUCAGAUGCUUCUGAUACUUUGCUGUUUUGCUCAGAGUUAGACUUUCCAGAAAGUGUUUCUACUUCAGAUGCUUCUGGUCUUCUGAUAAUUUGUAUCUGAUAUGAUUCUGUAUCUGAUGAAUUCUUCCUUCUUUC